AGCUUUGCGCAGUGGCAGUAUCGUAGCCAAUGAGGUUUAUCCGAGGCGCGAUUAUUGCUAAUUGAAAUCUAGACUUCAGUGGCAGAUAUUUGGCCCAAUGUUAAGAUG
ensembl:snRNA U4 U4 spliceosomal RNA